CACAUGCUUCAAGCCAAGCCAAGGUACCUUACCUUAGAUGAUGAGAUACACAACACACUUCUGAAACUACAUGCAUGUCUUUAAUUGUCAAUAGAUCCAAAACCAAAAAAUCUUAUAAUGGUCGGUCGUGCAUGGUAAGAAAAAUAGACAUUAAGCAGUUUCAUUACCAAAAAACCAAAUUCUAAGUUCUAACAACACACACACACAUAAUCAAAACAAACACAUUAAACAGAAGGAACAAAAAAAACAAUAGUCACCUCGUUAAGCAAUUGUACCAUAGUAUCAUGAGGUGAAACAUAGUUAUAACAUGCUAAAUGUUGCGUGCAUACAAAGAAAGAGCAAACUCAGUAAGCUCUCACAUAAUGAACAUUUAUGUAGCCAAACAGACUAAUGAGCAUUUAGUAAGCUCUCACAUAACAUCACCUCCUUGAAAAUGUACAUAUCUUAAUAUUACACUUGGAAACAACUCAACCACUUUCAACUAAGCUAUAACAAGUAACAUUUAAACAAUAUACUAGGAUUGCCUUCACCAAAAUCCUUAGGAGCAUAAUGCCUUCUCUAACAGUUCCUUUAACUCCCCACUUUUGUAUGCCUCUGCAAAAGAAAAUUUAGCUUAAAAUUCCAUACUUCAAAAAGAGACUGUAACUGUGAGGAACUGGGCACCAAGUUGAUUUCAAAAAUAGACAAAACCAGAAAAUGGAGCUUGACAUUGAAACUAUAAAAUACACAAAUCACAAAUGGAUACUGAUUCAGGUGAAACUAAAACUGCUCUAAUGAUCAAAAAGCCUCUAUUAGAGACUACCCAACAAUCAAGGGUUGUAACAGGGUAUUACAUGAAAUAUAUGCAACUCGGAAUAACAUAUCUUUACAUGAAUAAUUGUAAGGACUAAAAUUGAACAGUAUCUAAUUUCAUUCUAAUCUCUUCUUCAUUGCCGCAAAACCGUAAACAGGCUCAAGAACAGAAACAACCUUAGCCAAGUGCCACAACGCACUGAUGUAAACAUGAAAAACAAGAAAUAGAAGGAAAAUAACAAUCAUAGAGAAAACAAAUAAAUUUGUGUUCUGGGUAUCACUUGCCACAACUAAAAGUUCAGAAAAGUUUAUAGAUUUAAGUUCAGAAAAGCGUUGGAAGGGAAUAUCUCUCGUGCAGAAGUCAAGCUUAUAGAUUUUGUACAUGUGUGGGAAGGUAACGGGGUUAUUGAUCACAACUUCUUGUGUGGACUCUGUUCUUUGAUAAAGUUUAUCUCGGAGACGCUUGACAAUCCAAAUGAUUGCAAAUAAGUUUUAGCUUUUUUCUGAUAAUAAUUCUUUUUAGUGAAGAGAUUUAGAAUUUGGGGUGGUCAAUACACUGCAAAGUUAUGGUUAUGGCUAUGGCUAUGGCUUCCCAAAAUCGUAAGCAACUCUAAUCAAUAUAUCUUUACAUGAAUAAUUGUAAGGAACUGUUAUACUAAAAUUGAACAGUAUCUAAUUUCAUUCUAAUCUCUUCUUCAUUGCCGCAAAACCGUAAACAGGCUCAAGAACAGAAACAACCUUAGCCAAGUGUCACAACGCACUUAUGUAAACAUGAAAAACAAGAAAUAGAAGGAAAAUAACAAUCAUAGAGAAAACAAACAAAUUUGUGUUCUGGGUAUCACUUGCCACAACUAAAGGAACAAGAAAACAGAGGAUAAUCAGAUUAUAAAUGACCAUGGUGAGAGAAACCCAUAGAAGAACUCAUUAAACAGAGGAACUGUACUACACAUACCUGAUUAAGCUAGGGAUUUGGCUCUGUUUGCGUCCGGUUUGGAGAGAAGAGAGAACACAGAAGCUAGGGCUUGUGAUUUGGGAACUCACAAUCGCGAUUCUCAGCCAACCUUGCCUAAAUCGCGAAUCUCUGUGGAAGGAAGGCAGGGGAGAGACUCGAUUUGGAGAGAAGAGCUCGAGUAGGAGCUGAUUUGGGUUUGGAGAGAGGAGCUCAGUUUGCCUAAAUCGUGAAUUUGGAGAGAGAGGAGAGACGCGAGAUUUGGGUUUUNNNNNNNNNNNNN
rnacentral:lncRNA from 1 species